CCUACGGAGUGCAGCAGUGGGGAAUAUUGGGCAAUGGGCGCAAGCCUGACCCAGCAACGCCGCGUGAAGGAAGAAGGCUUUCGGGUUGUAAACUUCUUUUCUCAGGGACGAAGCAAGUGAAGGUACCUGAGGAAUAAGCUACGGCUAACUACGGGCCAGCAGCCGCGGUAAUACGUAGGAGCCAAGAGUUAAACGGCUUUACUGGGUGUAAAGGGCGGGUAGGCGGGACUGCAAGUCAGAUGUGAAAACCCUGGGUUCAACCUAUGGCCUGCAUUUGAAACUGGUGUUCUAGAGUACUGGAGAGGCGGGCGGAAUUCCAAGUGUAGCGGUGAAAUGCGUAGAUAUGAGGAGGAACACCAGUGGCGAAGGCGGUCUGCUGGACAGCAACUGACGCUGAGGCGCGAAAGCGUGGGGAGCAAACAGGAUUAGAUACCCGAGUAGUC
rnacentral:rRNA from 1 species